AUGGAGCUGGCACCAGGAAAGCCCCGACCCGGCCCGUUAAGCGCCAGGACAAGCGGCGCCCCUGAGACAGGCGACCUGGAGUCUCAGGAUCCUGCUCUUCAGGAGAUGGUGAGGGCACCACUCCUUCCCCCAGAGGAGGGCCGGGUGGAGAAUCUUUUGUUUCCUUUAAGUUUUGUUCUGCCACUGGCUCCCCAGCCAGUGGUACCCAAACAUUCAAUAAAAGAGCAGUUUCCUGUUUCUCUGGGUCUCAAGAGGGCCAGCAUGGCGGUACUCCAGGCACAGCCUCUACACUCCCGUCCCCCUCUCCUUUCGCCAGCGGGCAGCAGGGGCUGGUUCAAGGAUGCUCUGAAACAGUUUCAGAGGCUCCUGGGGCAUAUGGCAUCCACUGCCGAUGUCACGCCAUUCGGAUUGAUACAUAUGAGACCACUUCAGCGUUGGCUUCACGAUCGAGUCCCGAGAUGGGCAUGGCAACGCGGCAUGCACCAGGUCUUGGUUAUCCCAUCCUGCCACCAAACCUUCAGCCCAUGGUCGGACCAUGCUUUUCUAGGGGCAGGGGUACCCCUAGUGCAACUGUCCAGGAAUCUUGUUGUUUCAACAGAUGCCUCUGCUAUCGACUGGGGUGCCAGGUGCAACGGAAAUGCAGCAUCAGGUACCUCGACAGGGCCUCGUCUGCACUGGCAUAUCAAUUACCUAGAGUUGCUGGCAGUAUGGCUUGCUCUGCGCCGCUUCAAAACGUGGCUUCACGACAGGCACAAACUGGUCCGGAUGGACAAUACUGCGACCGUUGCAUACAUCAACCACCAGGGCAGUCUACGCUCCCGUUGCAUGUCGCAACUCGCCCGCCAUCUCCUCCUUUGGAGUCAGAAGCAUCUGAGGUCGCUCUGUGCCGUUCACGUCCCAUGCGAGCUCAAUCGUGCAGCCGACAAGUGCUCAUGUCAGCCCGCCCUUCCGGGAGAAUGGCGACUCCACCCCGAGACAGUCCAUCUGAUCUGGAGACGUUUCACGUAG
ensembl:lncRNA